AGAAAAGUAGGUGCCGCCCCGCACAGGGGCGACGCUUGAAGCGAGCUAACGAAUCGCGGAUGCCAGCGCAAACACUAGCAAACCAAGGCCAACGCCCGCGCCAC
rnacentral:sRNA from 1 species